rnacentral:rRNA from 1 species
CACGUGAGUAACCUGCCCUUGACUCUGGGAUAAGCCUGGGAAACUGGGUCUAAUACCGGAUAUGACUCCUCAUCGCAUGGUGGGGGGUGGAAAGCUUUUGUGGUUUUGGAUGGACUCGCGGCCUAUCAGCUUGUUGGUGGGGUAAUGGCCUACCAAGGCGACGACGGGUAGCCGGCCUGAGAGGGUGACCGGCCACACUGGGACUGAGACACGGCCCAGACUCCUACGGGAGGCAGCAGUGGGGAAUAUUGCACAAUGGGCGCAAGCCUGAUGCAGCGACGCCGCGUGAGGGAUGACGGCCUUCGGGUUGUAAACCUCUUUCAGUAGGGAAGAAGCGUAAGUGACGGUACCUGCAGAAGAAGCGCCGGCUAACUACGUGCCAGCAGCCGCGGUAAUACGUAGGGCGCAAGCGUUAUCCGGAAUUAUUGGGCGUAAAGAGCUCGUAGGCGGUUUGUCGCGUCUGCUGUGAAAGACCGGGGCUCAACUCCGGUUCUGCAGUGGGUACGGGCAGACUAGAGUGCAGUAGGGGAGACUGGAAUUCCUGGUGUAGCGGUGAAAUGCGCAGAUAUCAGGAGGAACACCGAUGGCGAAGGCAGGUCUCUGGGCUGUAACUGACGCUGAGGAGCGAAAGCAUGGGGAGCGAACAGGAUUAGAUACCCUGGUAGUCCAUGCCGUAAACGUUGGGCACUAGGUGUGGGGGACAUUCCACGUUUUCCGCGCCGUAGCUAACGCAUUAAGUGCCCCGCCUGGGGAGUACGGCCGCAAGGCUAAAACUCAAAGGAAUUGACGGGGGCCCGCACAAGCGGCGGAGCAUGCGGAUUAAUUCGAUGCAACGCGAAGAACCUUACCAAGGCUUGACAUGAACCGGAAAGACCUGGAAACAGGUGCCCCGCUUGCGGUCGGUUUACAGGUGGUGCAUGGUUGUCGUCAGCUCGUGUCGUGAGAUGUUGGGUUAAGUCCCGCAACGAGCGCAACCCUCGUUCUAUGUUGCCAGCGGUUCGGCCGGGGACUCAUAGGAGACUGCCGGGGUCAACUCGGAGGAAGGUGGGGACGACGUCAAAUCAUCAUGCCCCUUAUGUCUUGGGCUUCACGCAUGCUACAAUGGCCGGUACAAAGGGUUGCGAUACUGUGAGGUGGAGCUAAUCCCAAAAAGCCGGUCUCAGUUCGGAUUGGGGUCUGCAACUCGACCCCAUGAAGUCGGAGUCGCUAGUAAUCGCAGAUCAGCAACGCUGCGGUGAAUACGUUCCCGGGCCUUGUACACACCGCCCG